rnacentral:rRNA from 1 species
AUUGAACGCUGGCGGCAGGCCUAACACAUGCAAGUCGAACGAGUGGCGGACGGGUGAGUAAUGUCUGGGAAACUGCCUGAUGGAGGGGGAUAACUACUGGAAACGGUAGCUAAUACCGCAUCCCAUCGGAUGUGCCCAGCUGGGAUGAGCUAGUAGGUGGGGAAAAGGCUCACCUAGGAGACGAUCCCUAGCUGGUCUGAGAGGAUGACUAGCCAGACUGGUACUUAGACACGUGCCGUACUCCUUCGGGAGGCAGCAGUGGUGUAUAUUGCACAAUUUGAGCAAGCCUGAGGGAGCCAUGCCGCGUGUAUGAAGAAGGCCUUCGGGUUGUAAAGGACGUUCAGCGGGGAGGCGUUACCCGCAGAAGAAGCACCGGCUAACUCCGUGCCAGGAGCCGCGGUAAUAC